rnacentral:rRNA from 1 species
GACGGGGGGUGCAAGCGUUGUUCGGAAUCAUUGGGCGUAAAGCGUGUGCAGGUGGCUUUGUAAGUCAGAUGUGAAAGCCCCGGGCUCAACCUGGGAAUGGCAUUUGGGACUGCAAGGCUGGAGUAUGGCAGAGGAGACUAGAAUUCCUGGUGUAGCAGUGAAAUGCGUAGAUAUCAGGAGGAAUACCGAUGGCGAAGGCAGGUCUCUGGGCCAAUACUGACGCUCAUGCACGAAAGCGUGGGGAGCAAACAGG